rnacentral:rRNA from 2 species
GAUUAAAGCUUGCUUCUAUGACGUUAGCGGCGGACGGGUGAGUAACACGUGGGCAACCUGCCUGUAAGACUGGGAUAACUUCGGGAAACCGAAGCUAAUACCGGAUAGGAUCUUCUCCUUCAUGGGAGAUGAUUGAAAGAUGGUUUCGGCUAUCACUUACAGAUGGGCCCGCGGUGCAUUAGCUAGUUGGUGAGGUAACGGCUCACCAAGGCAACGAUGCAUAGCCGACCUGAGAGGGUGAUCGGCCACACUGGGACUGAGACACGGCCCAGACUCCUACGGGAGGCAGCAGUAGGGAAUCUUCCGCAAUGGACGAAAGUCUGACGGAGCAACGCCGCGUGAGUGAUGAAGGCUUUCGGGUCGUAAAACUCUGUUGUUAGGGAAGAACAA